rnacentral:rRNA from 1 species
GUUUGACCUCGGAUCAGGUAGGGAUACCCGCUGAACUUAAGCAUAUCAAUAAGCGGAGGAAAAGAAACCAACAGGGAUUGCCCUAGUAACGGCGAGUGAAGCGGCAACAGCUCAAAUUUGAAAUCUGGCCCUUUCAGGGUCCGAGUUGUAAUUUGUAGAGGGUGCUUUGGCGUUGGCUGUGGUCUAAGUUCCUUGGAACAGGACGUCGCAGAGGGUGAGAAUCCCGUAUGUGGCCGCCAGCCUCCGCCGUGUAAAGCCCCUUCGACGAGUCGAGUUGUUUGGGAAUGCAGCUCUAAAUGGGAGGUAAAUUUCUUCUAAAGCUAAAUAUUGGCCAGAGACCGAUAGCGCACAAGUAGAGUGAUCGAAAGAUGAAAAGCACUUUGGAAAGAGAGUCAAAAAGCACGUGAAAUUGUUGAAAGGGAAGCGCUUGCAGCCAGACUUGCCCGCAGUUGCUCAUCCAGGCCUCCGCCUGGUGCACUCUUCUGUGGGCAGGCCAGCAUCAGUCCGGGCGGUUGGAUAAAUGCCUGCUAAAUGUACCUCUCCUCGGGGAGGACUUAUAGGGUAGGCGGCAUACAACCAGCCCGGAUUGAGGUCCGCGCUUCGGCUAGGAUGCUGGCGUAAUGGCUGUAAGCGGCCCGUCUUGAAACACGGACCAAGGAGUCUAACAUCUAUGCGAGUGUUUGGGUGUCAAGCCCGAGCGCGUAAUGAAAGUGAACGGAGGUGGGAACCCCUCGGGGCGCACCAUCGACCGAUCCUGAUGUCUUCGGAUGGAUUUGAGUAAGAGCAUAGCUGUUGGGACCCGAAAGAUGGUGAACUAUGCCUGAAUAGGGUGAAGCCAGAGGAAACUCUGGUGGAGGCUCGCAGCGGUUCUGACGUGCAAAUCGAUCGUCAAAUUUGGGCAUAGGGGCGAAAGACUAAUCGAACUAUCUAGUAGCUGGUUCCUGCCGAAGUUUCCCUCAGGAUAGCAGUAACGUUUUCAGUUUUAUGAGGUAAAGCGAAUGAUUAGAGGCCUGGGGGUUGAAACAACCUUCACCUAUUCUCAA